ACUCAACAUUACUUCUUUAAAAAGGGUGAGUUUAGACUGUAAAAGCGAGCUGCUAGUGCUGAUUAAUUUCAGUAUCUCGAGCAGAUACUUGAUCAGUUUGUUAGCCCUAAACUUGUUUUAAGGAGUUU
rnacentral:sRNA from 1 species